UACAGAGGGUGCGAGCGUUGUCCGGAAUCACUGGGCGUAAAGAGCUCGUAGGCGGUUUGUCGCGUCUGCUGUGAAAACUCGGGGCUUAACCCCGGGCCUGCAGUGGGUACGGGCAGACUAGAGUGCGGUAGGGGAGACUGGAAUUCCUGGUGUAGCGGUGAAAUGCGCAGAUAUCAGGAGGAACACCGGUGGCGAAGGCGGGUCUCUGGGCCGUAACUGACGCUGAGGAGCGAAAGCGUGGGGAGCGAACAGG
rnacentral:rRNA from 1 species